UACGUAGGGGGCAAGCGUUGUCCGGAUUUAUUGGCGUAAAGCGCUCGCAGGCGGCCUCGCGCGCCGACGUGAAAGCCCCCGGCUUACCGGGGAGGGUCGUUGGGGACGGCGGGGCUUGAGGGCGGGAGAGGGUGGUGGAAUUCCCGGUGAGUGGGUGAAAUGCGUAGAGAUCGGGAGGACACCCGUGGCGAAGGCGGCCACCUGGGCCGACCCUGACGCUGAGCGCG
rnacentral:rRNA from 1 species